GAUGAACGCUGGCGGCGUGCUUAACACAUGCAAGUCGAACGGAAAGGCCCAAGCUUGCUUGGGUACUCGAGUGGCGAACGGGUGAGUAACACGUGGGUGAUCUGCCCUGCACUUCGGGAUAAGCCUGGGAAACUGGGGCUAAUACCGGAUAGGACCACUUCUUGGAUGUUGGGGUGGGAAGUGUUUUGGGUGUGGGGUGAGCUCGCGGCCUAUCAGCUUGUUGGGGGGGGUAUGGCCUACCAAGGCGUCGACCGGGAGCCGGCCUGAGAGGGGGUACCGCCCCAUUGGGGCUUGGGUUCGGCCCCGACUCCUACCGGGGGCAGCAGUUGGGAAAUUUUCCCAAAGGGGCCGAGCCUGAUGCCGCCACGCCGCGUGGGGGAUUACCGCCUUCGGGUUGUAAACUCCCUUCCCUCGGUACCAAGCGUUUUGUGACGGUACCUGGUGAAGAAGCACCGGCUAACUACGUG
rnacentral:rRNA from 1 species